AGGCUCAAAAAGAAAACUUGUUGACACUUUUGAAUGCGUCUCAGACAAUACAGAAUGUCUUAGAUAUCCUGAAUGGUAUCAUCCCACCACUGACACUGAGGUACCAGACGGUGUCAAUGGCUGGCAGCAGUGCUAAGGCCCAGCAGACUCUGGCAGACCUCCACAGGCUGCCUAAGGAAAUAGAGACCACAACAGAUCAGCUCAUGACUGUGACACUUGGAUCCCAAGAA
rnacentral:sRNA from 1 species